GACGAACGCUGGCGGCGUGCCUAAUACAUGCAAGUAGAACGCACAGUUUAUACCGUAGCUUGCUACACCAUAGACUGUGAGUUGCGAACGGGUGAGUAACGCGUAGGUAACCUGCCUGGUAGCGGGGGAUAACUAUUGGAAACGAUAGCUAAUACCGCAUAAUAUUAAUUAUUCCAUGAUAAUUGAUUGAAAGAUGCAACUGCAUAACUACCAGAUGGACCUGCGUUGUAUUAGCUAGUAGGUGAGGUAACGGCUCACCUAGGCGACGAUACAUAGCCGACCUGAGAGGGUGAUCGGCCACACUGGGACUGAGACACGGCCCAGACUCCUACGGGAGGCAGCAGUAGGGAAUCUUCGGCAAUGGACGAAAGUCUGACCGAGCAACGCCGCGUGAGUGAAGAAGGUUUUCGGAUCGUAAAGCUCUGUUGUAAGAGAAGAACGGGUGUGAGAGUGGAAAGUUCACACUGUGACGGUAUCUUACCAGAAAGGGACGGCUAACUACGUG
rnacentral:rRNA from 1 species